CUUAGUACGGCGAGUGAACAGGAAAAAGCUCAAAGUUGGAACCUGUUUGGCCUAGCUAAACCGGAUUGUAAACUGUAGAAGUGUUUUCCAGGCAAGCCGGACCGAUAAGUCCUUUGGAACAGGGCAUCAUAGAGGGUGAGAAUCCCGUCUUCGGUCUGAGCAUUUGCCUUUUGCGAUACACUUUCAAAGAGUCAGGUUGUUUGGGAAUGCAGCCUAAAUUGGGUGGUAAAUCUCACCUAAAGCUAAAUAUUGGCGAGAAACCGAUAGCGAACAAGUACCGUGAGGGAAAGAUGAAAAGAACUUUGAAAAGAGAGUUAAACAGUAUGUGAAAUUGUUAAAAGGGAACCGUUUGGAGCCAGACUGGCUUGUCUGUAAUCAGUCUAAGCUUCGGCUUGGAUGCACUUGCAGGCUAUGCCUGCCAACGACAAUUUGGCUUGAGGGAAAAAACUAAGGGAAAUGUGGCCCAUCCGUGGGUGUUAUAGUCCCUUAGAAAAUACCUUGGGCUGGAUUGAGGUACGCAGCGAAUGCUAUUUGGCGAGUUGGCUGGGAAUAUUUUCUGAGGUGCUUUGGUACUGAGGUUGAUAUUCCUAGUUACACUUCUAUUCGCUUAGGUUGUUGGCUUAAUGACUCUAAAUGACCCG
rnacentral:rRNA from 1 species